AUGAAUCUCUUAUCUCCCGCUAUUGGGGAUCCUAUUUGCGUACCAACCCAAGACAUGCUUAUCGGGCUUUAUGUAUUAACGAUUGGAAAGCGUCGAGGUAUUUGUGCAAAUAGAUAUAAUAGUGGCAGAAACUACCCAAAUCUAAAAGUAAAUUACAAUAAUAAUAAUAAUUCUAAAUAUAGGAAAGAUAACGAACCCCAUUGA
rnacentral:rRNA from 1 species